rnacentral:rRNA from 1 species
UACGGAGGGGGCUAGCGUUGCUCGGAAUCACUGGGCGUAAAGGGUGCGUAGGCGGGUCUUUAAGUCAGGGGUGAAAUCCUGGAGCUCAACUCCAGAACUGCCUUUGAUACUGAAGAUCUUGAGUUCGGGAGAGGUGAGUGGAACUGCGAGUGUAGAGGUGAAAUUCGUAGAUAUUCGCAAGAACACCAGUGGCGAAGGCGGCUCACUGGCCCGAUACUGACGCUGAGGCACGAAAGCGUGGGGAGCAAACGGG